ACUACUGAUAUACACAGCAACAGAGGAAGGUUAGUACUGAUACAAACAGCAACAGAGGAAGGUUAGUACUGAUACACACAGCAACAGAGGAAGGUUACUACUACUGAUAUACACAGCAACAGAGAAGGUUACUACUACUGAUACACACAGCAACAGAGGAAGGUUAGUACUACUGAUAUACACAGCAACAGAGAAGGUUACUACUACUGAUAUACACAGCAACAGAGGAAGGUUACUACUACUGAUACACACAGCAACAGAGGAAGGUUAGUACUGAUACACACAGCAACAGAGGAAGGUUAGUACUGAUACACACAGCAACAGAGGAAGGUCACUACGACUGAUAUACACAGCAACAGAGGAAGGUUAGUACUGAUACACACAGCAACAGAGGAAUAUUAGUACUGAUACACACAGCAACAGAGGAAGGUUACAACUACUGAUACACACAGCAACAGAGGAAGGUUACUACUACUGAUACACACAGCAACAGAGGAAGAUUACUACUACUGAUACACACAGCAAGAGCGGAAGGUUAGUACUGAUACACACAGCAACAGAGGAAUAUUAGUACUGAUACACACAGCAACAGAGGAAGGUUACUACUACUGAUAUACACAGCAACAGAGGAAUAUUAGUACUGAUACACACAGCAACAGAGGGAGGUUAGUACUGAUACACACAGCAACAGAGGAAGGUUACUCCUACUGAUAUACACAGCAACAGAGGAAGGUUACUACUACUGAUACACACAGCAACAGAGGAAGGUUACUACUACUGAUACACACAGCAACAGAGGAAGGUUACUACUACUGAUAUA